rfam:Rattus norvegicus chromosome 2, whole genome shotgun sequence.
GGGGAUUUAGCUCAGUGGCAGAGCGCUUGCCUAGCAAGCACAAGGCCCUGGGUUCGGUCCCCAGCUCUG